CUCCUUGUUUUCCACUGGCUGCCCCACCUCCACAGGAAGCAGUUUGCUAGGCUGAAACAUCUGUAUUUUGGAGUUGCUUUACUCAAGAAAGGAGGGAAAAAAGAGCUCUGCCUUGAAUGAUGGAUCGCCACUGGUUCCCGCAUAUAAAUAAUUAGGCAUUUGAAUUGAUAUGGAUUUGACGUUUCAAACCUACUGUAGAUGAGCUGGUUGAGAAGCUAAGAUUUAAAGUCAACUUUAUCUACAGAAACAGAUUGUCUUUCUCUCGUGGCGGCAGGGUAGCCUAGUGGUUAGAGCUGUUGGACUAGUAACCGCAAGGUUGCAAGUUCAAAUCCCCGAGCUGACAAGGCUGUCAUUGAAAUGAAGAAUUUUUUCUUAAUUGACUUGCCUAGUUAAAUAAAGGUAAAAUAAUAAAAUAAAAACCAGUAGAAAGCUGAUUAUUCAGUCCUUGAUUAUGGGGAAAUCAUUUCAUUAAAGUGCUGCUACUCUUAAACCUUUUGGAUGCCAUCUACCAUAGUGCCCUUUUUUUGUUUCGUUACAGAUGGCAGUUUUUAAUAAUCAUCCCUGCAUCCUGUAUCAACAGGUUGGUUGGACUUCACUAAAGGCCCAUAGCUCUCUACAUUACUUCCUAUCUGUUUACAAGGGCCCUACUUUCUAAACUUCUGUCUGAUCUGACUGUGUUGUCGAAGUAUAGACACGUGAGUUGCCUAACCAGUUCACAGGAUGGCUUAACUCUUAAGGUUCCUAGGUUCUCCAACGAACUUGGUCCAAUCUCCUUUUGAAGCACUGUAAUUCUUAGGUUCUCCACCGAACUAGGUACAUCUCCUUUUAAAGCACCGUAAUUCCUAGGUUCUCCAACGAACUAGGUACAUCUCCUUUUGAAGCACCGUAAUUCCUAGGUUCUCCAACGAACUAGGUACAUCUCCUUUUGAAGCACCGUAAUUCCUAGGUUCUCCAACGAACUAGGUACAUCUCCUUUUGAAGCACCGUAAUUCCUAGGUUCUCCAACGAACUAGGUACAUCUCCUUUUGAAGCACCGUAAUUCCUAGGUUCUCCAACGAACUAGGUACAUCUCCUUUUGAAGCACCGUAAUUCCUAGGUUCUCCAACGAACUAGGUACAUCUCCUUUUGAAGCACCGUAAUUCCUAGGUUCUCCAACGAACUAGGUACAUCUCCUUUUGAAGCACCGUAAUUCCUAGGUUCUCCAACGAACUAGGUACAUCUCCUUUUGAAGCACCG